UUUGUGGCAUACUGCACUAGCUCUAAUUUGAGUACUUCAAUUCAACUUAAAGUAACUUAUUUUCUAACACUUAAUAAUGAGCUCACAGAUGAUAGAAGCAGAAAAAAAAAUACUUGGCCAAAUAUCAUUUAACCAGAUAUUGUACAUUGUAGAAUCAGUAGUCUAUCUCACUUCAUUCUUGUUAGAACCUGCAUAAGAUUUUGUAUGUGAUGCUUUUGUUUAUUCAAUCAAGUGAAAUAAGGGCUACAACAAGAGAUCACCAUUAGGUUAUCAUGAACCAGCAAAAUGGGUAUAAGAAGCUAUAUUCAAGAAAAGAUAUUCUGCUCAUUCUUUACCCAGAGCAAAUAUAAAGUCGCAUACGAACAUCUGAAACUAAGAACUCAACAAAUAGAUCAGUAUAUUCCAUGUUAAGUAUACAACUCACAAAUAGACAUUUCCAGUGAGAAAAUAUUAACUAUUUCUAAAAUGUCGUGACAAGUUGUUUUUUUUGUAGAAUUUUAUGCUCUUGCUGUUAUCUUAGCCUCACAGGAUUGUAUAUUUUGAUGGAAUAUAGUAAGAUUUUCUUAUAAUCACGAGUUCUUUUAUAAUUGGAUGAGAAGAUACCAUCUAGCGCAUCAAUUAAGAAUUACCCAUAUUAAUACCUCGAACAGGGAUGCAUGUAUUUGAUCUUUCCUGCUGAGAUUCAGUGUUUCCUAUCGGAGGUCUGAAUUUGCAUAUGUGGGGCCUCUCAGUUAGAUUGUAAGUAUACUAACCAUUCUGUAACUGAGGUUGUGCCAUAUAUCUAGAACUGUAGAAUAUCUUCCACAUAUGUUCAUUCAGGGACCUUAGAAACUCACUAUUGAGGGUUCAUUGCCAAGAAGGCAACUCAUCUCUUUGGCAUUGAAUUUAUUUGGAGUGUUGCAAUUAUCGCAAUGCUCAGUGAGAACUACCAGGGUCAUGAAGAAGUCCUAGCUCAACAAUGGCUCCGUGAGCUCUAACAGGUGUGGUGGGCUGCCAACGACCUACACAUAGUAUUGCUUAAAUCGGCUGCAAUCACUAGAUUCUCGUCACUAACUCUGUGAACUGGUAGAAAGUGGUCACGUUGGGAAAGGAGUAAACGGAAUGCUACUAAAAUAGUGGGCCUUUGGGCAACACCUAAAGCAUUGCAAUAAGCUUCUGAUAAGAAUUUCGUACAAGAAUAGGUGCUUGUAAAUAUGUUGAAUUGUUCAUGGUGGAGUUGUUGUACAGUCUCCCAACAGCAAUGAUUUACAAGGCUCAAGGGACUAUAUAAAGGCCAAACACUUGGAAUUCAAACAAGCUAGGUUCAAAAUGGUAACUUUGAGUUAUUA